UGUCUUUUGUUCAUUGAUUGCCCUUCUGUAUUCUGUUAGUGUUGCAUUCCUUUUGUAAUCUAGUAAUUUUGUUAUGAACUUGAUCAUGAGUUUAAAAAAAAAAACAGCAGCCACAGGCCUAACUAUGUGAAUUCCAUUUUUGCUUUAUCAUGCACAUUGAUCUUUUGAUGUUGUCCCUAGAAACUUCAGUCUUGCACUGAAUUUAUACAUUUUGCUUUGAGACCAAAAUAUUGUCAAAAAAUUAUUAAAACAAAACUUCAUUUUCAGAUUAUGAAAGGGUCUUCGGAACACCCAGAAAGCAUGAUUUUGCAUCAUUUGUUCUAUAGCUUCUUGAACCUUCAGUGGCUCCAAAACCCUUCAAAAAAAAUUUUGCCUCGCUCCGCUCGGCGUAGUAUGUUUGCCAAUACAUUUAAAAGUUCCUACUUAUAACUAAACUUCAAUACUAUGUAUGUAUGCAAUACAUGUAUAUGCAGUUGGGAAUUUAAAAGAUUCAUUUCUGCAGAGGGGGAUGGUUAAUCUAAUUAAAUGGUACAUAAUGACUUGACUAUACUAUAUGUAU
rnacentral:lncRNA from 1 species